GUCUAGGGCAUCGACGAAAACUCACCAGAAAAUGCAAAGGAUGAGAACAGCAAUGUCCACUCACAUACUCACUCUCACCCUCCUCAAAACCCCUAUUUACAAACCCAAAUCCCCCCCUUUCCUCCAAAACCCUAACCCUAACCACCCAAUACGACGCCGCUUCAGCCUCUCCGCUUCCGCCGCAACACCGCCACCAAUCACCGCCACUCCAAAUGUCGAAAUUGACCCCCGCUACUUAUCGUGUUGUAUGCCUGAUAAGCGCCUCAACGUCGCCGUCCUCGUCAGCGGCGGCGUUGAUAGCAGCGUGGCUCUGCGGCUUUUACACGCCGCCGGGCAUUCGUGCACCGCGUUUUAUCUGAAAAUCUGGUUUCAGGAGGAUUAUGAGAACUUCUGGUCUGAAUGUCCGUGGGAAGAUGAUCUUAAGUAUGCUAAGGCAGUUUGUAAUCAGGUUGACAUACCCCUGGAAGUAGUGCAUUUGACAGAUGAGUACUGGAGUAAUGUGGUAUCAUAUAUUAUUGAAGAGUAUCGAUGCGGCCGAACUCCUAAUCCAGACGUUCUCUGCAAUACAAGAAUAAAGUUUGGUGCCUUUAUGGAUGCCAUUAGUAGUAUGGGAUUUGACUUUGUUGCUUCCGGACAUUAUGCAAAAGUCAUUCAUGAAUUCACGGAGCAAUCAAGUGGGCCUUCUGUCCUACAACUCUCAGAAGAUAUGGUCAAGGAUCAAACUUACUUUCUUUCGCAUCUUUCUCAAUCCCAGCUUAGAAGAUUGAUCUUUCCUCUCGGUUGUAUUCCUAAGGAUGUAGUUCGUGAAAUUGCUAAGAGUUUUGAUUUGCCAAACAAGGAUAGAAAGGAUUCACAAGGAAUAUGCUUCCUUGGUAAGAUAAAGUUCAGUGAAUUUGUGGCGAGACACAUCGGGGAGAGAGAGGGUGUAAUAUUGGAAGCUGAGACAGGAGACUUUUUGGGUAAACACAGGGGAUUCUGGUUCUACACAAUUGGUCAACGUCAAGGCUUACGGCUUCCUGGGGGACCUUGGUAUGUCGUAGAGAAAGACACCAAAAAUAAUGUGGUCUUCGUGUCAAGGAGCUACUAUUCAGUUGAUAAAAGAAGGCGAUCUUUUCGUGUGGGAUCCUUCAAAUGGCUUUCUGGGAAGCAUCCAAAUGAGAUCGGCCAUCUGCAGUGCAAGGUUCGACAUGGCCCUGGUUUUUACGAUUGCAGCUUGACGAUGGAACCUGGAGAGAAUAGUCAUGAUAAAGUAGCGGUUGUACAGUUAUCUGAAGAUGAUCAAGGUAUUGCCGCUGGGCAGUUUGCAGCCUUCUACAGCGGAAGGACUUGUCUUGGGUCUGGCGUGAUUUUAGAAUCCUGGGACGAUUCUGGGUUUCCCAUAUGUUCUAGGGCACGUGAAACUGCUGGAAUGGAAGAUAAGUCAAAGCUCGGGAAACCAGUAAAAAUUAAAUUUAUACCUGGUCUUCCAAACUCUGAUACUACUGAAGAUGCAAGACUGGCCCAGCUUGAGGUGGAUAAUUCUAAAUCUGCUAUUAGGGCUACUAGAAGGCGGGCAUCACAUCAGAAAACCAUUUUAACUGCCCCGCAUAAUUGGCUGCGACGGUUUACGAAGAAGUGGAUGAGGAUCUUUCAGUAAUUCCCCAAUUCCAGGAAUAGUUAGAAACAAGUCAGACUACACAUUGCUCAGACAUACACGAAGCAGAAUUUUAUGUUAUUUGGCGGGAAAAUAGCAUGCAGAGUCUAUUUUGCUGGAGAACAGCUGCUUUAGGGGAUUAUUUCCAGUCACAUGAAGCUGCUUCAGAUAAUGAUAGCCGCACCGAGCUUCUCCACGACCUCAUCCUUAUUACAGCCCUGAAUCCUGAUCAACAAGUUUCUCCUCCAACAUGACUAGCUGUAAGCCUGUAACUCACUAACUCUAUCGCUGAUCAUGCUGGAGAAUGUCUUUAUUCGCCUUUUUUGAUGCAGCAAAGACGCCUUGAGUUGAGUUCAAGGGUUUGUUUGUGAAGGGUUUUAUAGAGAACUUGUUCUGGAUGUGGCCGGGGGUUCCGGAGCCUCGGGCGGUGUGAAAUUCGUUUCCGUUCAUGGUGGAACCAAAAGGUUCAAAACCUUAAUUUUUGGAGAUUGGGAGAUUGUGUGAAAUAGUGGGAGUUCAGAAUUUGAAUAGGUGGAGGGGGGAAUUGAGAAGACUACGGUUUUAUAUAGAAAUCUUCAUUUUGUACUUUUUAUUUUUUGAUAAAUAAAUCGGCGAUUUAUAAAUUUCUUUUGUCACUCU